AAGCUGUGAGGCGCUCCGGACGAAUGAACUCCCUCAAGAAGGUGCACAGAGUGGUGGCGAGUCCUUUAUUUUAAUGCCAAACUUCAACUUCCUAAGUUUUCUCUUCCAUCCCUGUCUGUGAAGAAUCCGGGGAGUGUAUGAAAACGUCUAGUUGCAGGAAAACAGGCUGAGGGCUCCCACUGAUUCUACAUUAUGUGUUUUAAUUGACAUACUCAUGUACCUAAUCGGGUACACAGAGUGCAACAAAAGCACAUGUAAUGGACACUUAGCCCAGUAUAAGGAAGUUAGCAAAAGGUUCUCAGAAGCGGAAACCUCCAAGAUGAGACCUCAAAGCUGAGAUCUGAGAAGCCCAUCUGUAAAUGAUGAAGAAAAAACAUCAGACCCCAAGUUCUUCAGCUUUUGGACUCUUGGACUUACACCAGCGGUUUGCCAGGGGCUCUCAGGCCUUUGGCCAGAGACUAAAGGCUGCACUGUCAGCUUCCUUACUUUUGAGGUUUUGAGACUGGGACUGAUCCACCACUGGCUUCCUCGCUCCUCAACUUGCAGACGACAUAUCGUGGGAGUUUACCUCUUGAUCGAAUUCGUAAGGACCACAUUGGAUGCAGCAGAUAUAAAUGACCAGACACACAUCAAGUACACCUCAGGGCUGGAAUCUGAGUAGCUGAGGUGCUUAUGUGACUACAUGCCUACAUCACUGACCCCCAAUAAACACCUUGGACACAAGACUCAGGCUGCUUCAUCGAUACUUUCUUAUUUUAUGUUAUGAUGCAUCAAAGUGAACUCUGAUCCCUUCAAACAGAAUCAUUGCUUUCAGAUAAAGAAACCUCAGAUCAAAUAUAAGCAUCAAAAUCUACAAAGAUUUUAGAGGGUGAAGAAACACGGAAAGAUCUCUGGUGAUGGAGCCAGCAUUGAUGAACCAAGAAAAGUCUUAAACGUGAAGAAGCCUGUGAUAAACAAGGUGACUCACCUCAUCAAAUGGAAUAGGGAUCUUCUGGCAAAGCUGCCUGGGUAAACCGCAACUCACAAGGGAUAGAAUUUCACUAAAUUCUUAAGAGGUUACAGACUCUAUUUCUAUCCUUAAAUACACUCAUUAUUUUAUCCCUGGAUAUACCCAAUUAUAGUUUAAACUUAAAUUGAAUAAAAGAUGAUGGGAAUAAUUCUAUUUUUAUUUCAGGACUGUGCCCAGGGGAAUAACAAGGAAGAAAAAUGUCAGAAGAAUUAGUUUCUCUCUAAUUGAACAAAUGUAUUUAUAUUUCCUUGUUGAUAGGCAUAGAUUCUCAAUGAGAAACUGAAACUUAUGAAGUUACAUUUAAGACUCCAGUUGUGACAAUGAUGACCAAUGCUCUUUGGUAUUACGUUUUCCAAUUCAACACAGGAAAUGAGUUGGAAUUUGUUUUGCAGUUUUUUUUUCAGCCUGUUUUGUGGAGUAUUUUUUCCUGUGAUCUGUAGAAACACAAUGAUAACAUUACGAACUUUGCCAGUCAUUGGCCCAUCAAAAAUGUUUGUAUGCUUGAAUGGGCAAGAAAUUACAUUUGAUGGAGUCCCAUGUGCCUCAUUAACUAAAUUUUUCUUUUCGGUUAUUAUUAAAGGACAGUAGGUGGCCAGGCACGAUGGCUCAUUCCUGUAAUCCCAGCAGUUCAGGAGGCCAAGGUGGGCAGAUCAUGAGGUCAGGAGACCAAGACCAUCCUGGCCAACACGGUGAAAUCCCGUCUCUACUAAAAAUACAAAAAUUAGCCAGGUGUGGUGGUGUGUGCCUGUAAUCCCAGCUACUAGGAGGCUGAGGCAGGAGAAUCUCUCUAACCAGGGAUUCGGAGGUUGCAGUGAGCCGAGAUUGCGCCACUACCCUCCAGCCAGGCAAUAGAGCGAGAGUCUGUCUCCAAAAAAAAAAGACUGUAGGUAUGAGAUCAGACGUGACUUUUAACUUUUAACUUUUAACUUUCAUGUUCUUCAUCUUCCAUUCUUGCCACAAAAAGACUGCCGUUUCCUUCUUCACAUUCAAUGUGUCUCAUGGGUCAGAGAAUCUGUGUGGUUACACUCUUAACUAGUACAGCCACUGUUCUUCGACUACUUAAACGCUCUUAUCCUUCCACUCAGUCAUCCAUUUGACCCCAUUUCCUUUAUAUUCUAUGCAGAAUUACAUGUGCAAUUAGGGUUUGUUUUCAUUAUUACUGUUAUUAUUAUAAUCACUAUUUGCCAAUUCUGUUGAUUACCCUUUCCAUUUGUUUUUCAACAAAACUCUCUCUGUACACCAACAACACUGCCUCAAUCUUUUAAUCUACCAGAAAAAAAAUUCAACUCCAUAAGCAAUUGGAUCAAUAAUAGUAGGAAUUCACAAUUUUCAGUCUCAGUGGUUUCCUUCAACAUUAAACUCCUUUUUAUUUUGAUUGUCCAUUACUUCAUAACUUUGAAAUCCUCUUUCAAUUUCUCUAAUGUAAUUUGACCAAGAUUGUGGCUCGCAAGACUGAACUUUUUUGAAAUAUGGACAUGGGGAGUCCCCACAUUUUGCUAGACUACAUCUUGGAGGGUGCUUGGAAAGCAGAAAUGGUGGGAAAUCGUUUUAUUUUCUGUUUGCAAAAGCCACUUUGCAACUUGUGGUUAUCCUAUUCUAUCACCAAGCUCCUGCCUGUAUUUACAGUGGGCUUUGAAGAACCAGCUGCUGAAAGUGAUAAAUCAGCAGCUGAAAAUGAUGAAUGCGAGACUGAUUGGAACUCAAAGUGAAAUAUAGGUGCUUGUCAACAAUGUUAGAUUGGUAACUUGAGGUGGCAAAGAGUGGUGACUGCUGGCAAAAUGUAUGAAUAUAUGUAUUAUAGUAGCAAUUAUACUUGCUUAUUUCAAUGUUUUUGAAGUCUUCUUAUUUAUAGAACAUUCUGGCUUUUUAUUUUGAGGAGCACUGCUAACAAUAAAUCAGAACCAACAUUUA
rnacentral:lncRNA from 1 species